rnacentral:rRNA from 1 species
UAUUGGUCAAUGGGCGGGAGCCUGAACCAGCCAAGCCGCGUGAGGGAAGACGGUCCUACGGACUGUAAAUCUCUUUCGCCGGGGAGCAACGGGGUCCUUGCGAGGGCCAAAUGAGAGUACCCGGAGAAAAAGCAUAGGCUAACUCCGUGCCAGCAGCCGCGGUAAUACGGAGGAUGCGUGCGUUAUCCGGAUUUAUUGGGUUUAAAGGGUGCGUAGGCGGGCUGUUAAGUCAGCGGUCAAAUGUCGGGGCUCAACCCCGGCCUGCCGUUGAAACUGGCGGCCUCGAGUGGGCGAGAAGUAUGCGGAAUGCGUGGUGUAGCGGUGAAAUGCAUAGAUAUCACGCAGAACUCCGAUUGCGAAGGCAGCAUACCGGCGCCCUACUGACGCUGAGGCACGAAAGCGUGGGUAUCGAACAGG